CUCUUUCUCCUUCUUAGUCAACAUGGGCACCACUACUUGCUUUGAUCCCUUUGCUUUCUCCUUCUUAGUCAAUCUUUUAAGGAGGGCAGAAAGGAGAAACAAUAUUACCCUUAUUAUGCAACUUGCAAUUUGCAAAGACAACUCUUGGCAUUUAAUAGAUACUGACAAUUUCUCAACUUAUUUUAAGAUAAUUAUGUUUGAUACAAAACCCCGUGAACUGUACUGCUGAAAUUAAGCAUGUGGUUUGAAUAGCAAAUUUAAGGUAUAUAUAAUGAUAGUUUAAAGGGUUUUUAUAUAAUCGGGGUAGCUUAACCUAUUAUAACUUGCUAGUUAUCAUUUUUAUUAUGUUGUCAAUCAAUAUUUAACAUGAAUAUUUUCUUAUAGUUACUUUAUUAAUAACUUGAUUGUGUAAUAUUUUUUGCAUUAUUAAUAUAUAUUUAUAAACUCUUGAAAGGCUAAGGCAAGACAUGGGCGGAUCUAGUAACCAGAGGUUCAUUUGAACCCAUAACUUUUAGUCUAGACAUGAGUUUAUGUGUAAAAUCCACUAAAAUUGACAAAAAAAUUAAACUAUGAACUCAUAAAUCAAAUAAAAUAAUAGAUUCAGCGGUUAAAAUAUGAAUCUUGAACACAUAAAAUUAAAAUUAUGAAUCCGCUCCAACAAGAAGACGAGGUCUAUUCUAUAUAAAGGCAGCAGAGAAAGCAUACUUGAUAUUCUAAGAUAGAAACACGUUUUUUCUUUCUCAAUCCAUUCUUAAAUAUUUUAGCAUAACAAGAAUAAAGGGGUCAUCUAUUUUUCACACUCAUGGCAAUUUCUCAUGUGGAUGAAAAUGGAUAUAAUGAUGGAUAUACAAAAGAUGGAACAGUGGAUCUCAAAGGCAAUCCUAUUCUUAGAUCCAAGAGAGGUGGAUGGAAAGCUUGUUCCUUCAUUGUUGGUAUGGUAUCUUAGCUCCCUCUCUUCCUCCUCCCCUCCCCCCCCCCCCCCCACAUCCCCCCAAAAAAGAAAACUUCCCCUACACUCCCAUAUUAAGAUAAUUGAGGUCGGCUAUAUAAAUUCUCACCGUUUAUAUUGCUUCAUCUGGCCCCUUUUCAGACCCGGCGUAAAUACGGAAUGCCUUGUGCAUCGCGCUGCCCUAUAUCGCUUCAUUAGUCAUGGCAAAACUUCAUGAAACAUUGAUGUCUAGUGUCUUUAAUUUCUUUAGCUUAUCCCUACAUAAAACUGCAGGAAUCAUCUUCAC
rnacentral:lncRNA from 1 species